AAUAGUACCAGUGAGCCGAGAGGGCGUGGGAGGGGCGCAGGUUUAGUCCCACAUCGCUUGUACAUGGGUUCGUGCACAGGCUUAUAUAGUGUCCUAGCCUUUACCUUCAUGAGGCCUUUUGGAGGGAAGGGAAACCAUGGUAUCAGAGCCAGCGGUGCCUAAGCCUGCGUCGGCAUGUGCGCCCGGCCUCUCACUCUUGCCUGUUAAGGGGAAGAAGUACCUGUGAAGCCCGUAAGGCACGUGAGGGGAAAAUAGUACCCGUGAGCCGAGAGGGCGUGGGAAGGGCAGAGGUUUAGUCCCACAUCGCUUAGACAUGGGUUCGUGCACAGGCUUAUAUGGUGUCCAGGCCCUUACCUUCACGAGGCCUUUUAGAGUUUGAGUCAAGCUCCUUUACAAGAUCGCCGUAGAUUUAUAUGUUGAAUGAGCACAUUUUUGUCAAUUCUUGUCCACUCAUUUCUAAGCGGUACAACUCCCAUGUUUCCUCUGAAAUCGUGAUAUCUAACCAAUUCAAUGUUUAACAAUUGUAAGCUCAGUAUUUUGUCUUUUCUGUGUUUAUGUCUGGGAUCCUCUUUGGUAGCCUAUAAUUUGGUCAAAUAGAGUCUUGUGUUGGUUCAUGAACCUUGUCCAUCAACUUUCUUUUGCAAAGAUUCUUGCCCGAAGUAGUUUCUUAUAUGUCCAUACAGAGAUGUAAUUUUCAAAAAACUUAGCUUUCUAAACAUGUAGUUCUGAAACUUCAUUUUGAGGAUGCUCAUUUCUGCUACUUUGGAUGUACAAAUAAUAUCGUGCUUGUGUUGCUAUAGGCUUCUUUCUUGGUCCGCAUUUCAUUAGAGUAGUCUUCUAGCUAGUACAACUGAUUUAGAACCGUAAAUGAUUUAGAGCCUAUCUAAUCAGGGUAAUGUUAGAAAUUUGUUCACAUGAAUGAGCAAUAUUUUGAAGAGACAUCCUUUGAUUUGAUCCUUCAAAAGUUCCAUAAAGACUUUGUACUCCAUGUAAUGUUGCUUUUUUUAUUUUCUAACAAGUGAAAUUGUAGUCUUAAAGUCAGUAUUAGUUUUACGAGGAUUAUACAAAUCUUCAAGUACUUAAUUUUUGUAUAUUUGAAUGUAUUAUUUUAUGUCAGAUAGCUGAUAACUUCAUUUAGUCAGGUGGUUGGAGUGGCAUGUUGAGAGAAAUCUCACAUUUACUUUAGAGCAAAUGGAAAGACAGAAAUGCCAAGAAAUUUAGCAAACGACCUGUGAUCAGGGUUUGCUUGACUAGAAGAUAGCUGUACUUUGCAUUUUCUGUAUAAAUUAUUGACCUGGUACUGCUUCUCACUCGAGAGUAGAGUGAAGUACAAGAAGUAGAUUUGUCAACUCUUUCCAUGUUGAGUUCUAUUUUGUUGUGUUGGUUGGUUGUCAACCUGUUUUAUUAGGUUUUCAGAUAUGGUCGUUUUCAGAUAUAGGAAGCUGGUUUUUGUUUUGGGCUAAAAUUCUUGGGGAAGCUUGAGUUUUUUUUUUUGUUACCCGCCACCACCACUACCACCAUCAUCAUUACUACUAUUAAGGUUGUCAUUAGACGAUGGCAUCCAGUUGAAUUGCUUUUGUUUAUAAACUAUGGAUAAUAUUACAUCAAAAUAUAAACUAUGGAUUGUUUAGUUUGGCUAGAUUUUGGAAUAAUUCAAGUUCGUUGGAUAAGAAUCACUAUAAGGGGUUUGUAUGGCAGGUUGAUGUUAUGAGUGGUCUAGCAUGUGAGUCUAAUUUGUGGAUGACAUCCUCAUGUGUUUCAAGUCGAAGAGCAAAUGUAGACAACAUUAUGUGCUAUGGAAUACAGAAGCGGCACUAUUAUGUAAAAUUUCAAUUUUUGUUAAAGCUGUGUGGUACAUCCUUCUCUAGGUUCUCAGCUUGUGUCGGGGACUAUUCUGGUGAGAUGGGGG
rnacentral:lncRNA from 1 species